rnacentral:rRNA from 1 species
GCUCAGAACGAACGCUGGCGGCGUGGAUAAGACAUGCAAGUCGAGCGCUGAUUGCGGGGUAGCAAUAUUCCGCAGUUGGAGCGGCGCAAGGGUGCGUAACACGUGGGUAAUCUGCCAUGAAGUCUGGAAUAACUUGCUGAAAGGCGAGCUAAUGCCGGAUGUGAACAUCGGGCGGCAUCGUUUGAUGUUCAAAGUUGGGGACCGUAAGGCCUGACGCUUCAUGAUGAGCCCGCGGCCUAUCAGCUAGUUGGUGAGGUAACGGCUCACCAAGGCUAAGACGGGUAGCUGGUCUGAGAGGACGACCAGCCACACUGGAACUGAGACACGGUCCAGACACCUACGGGUGGCAGCAGUCGAGAAUUUUUCACAAUGGGCGAAAGCCUGAUGGAGCGACGCCGCGUGGGGGAUGAAUGGCUUCGGCCCGUAAACCCCUGUCAUUCGGGAUCAAUGCCUGCGGCCUAAUACGUUGCAGGUUGAUAGUACCGGAAGAGGAAGGGACGGCUAACUCUGUGCCAGCAGCCGCGGUAAUACAGAGGUCCCAAGCGUUGUUCGGAUUCACUGGGCGUAAAGGGUGCGUAGGUGGUCGGGUAAGUCUGAUGUGAAAUCUCGGAGCUCAACUCCGAAACGGCAUUGGAUACUAUUCGGCUUGAGGAUUGGAGGGGGGACUGGAAUUCUCGGUGUAGCAGUGAAAUGCGUAGAUAUCGAGAGGAACACCAGUGGCGAAGGCGAGUCCCUGGACAAUUCCUGACACUAAGGCACGAAAGCUAGGGGAGCAAACAGGAUUAGAUACCCUGGUAGUCCUAGCCGUAAACGGUGCACGUUUGCUGUAAAAGGAAUCGACCCCUUUUGUGGCGUAGCCAACGCGUUAAACGUGCCGCCUGGGAAGUACGGUC